GCCGGGGUGGUGGAAUUGGUAGACGCAAGGGACUUAAAAUCCCUCGGGGGAAACCCCGUGCCGGUUCGAUUCCGGCCCUCGGCACCA
rnacentral:tRNA from 1 species